rnacentral:lncRNA from 1 species
GUAUUUUUCCUCUGUUCAAGGUCACAUUUCCUGAUUAAUGAAGUAUUUCAGUCUUAGAAUUUCUGUCAAAUCUUCUCAAUUAAAUUUAUUGUACUUCUAUUAUCAGACAGACACAGGGGCUACCCUUCCCUACUCCAUGAAACACCAUGAAUUGUAUUUUAAGUCAAAUAUUUAUGUGAAACACAGUACCUGCUUCUACCUUAGUCAUCAAUGCUAAUUUUUCAAAUUGCACCUGGACUAUCCUACAGAUCAUUUAGGGAAUUUUUUUGCACUAUGCUACUUGUGCACUCCAAACCCAAAACGUAGGACAGCAAGAGAAGUAUUGAAAGUUUUUCAAAGAUUCUCAAGGAUUCAAAGAUUAAGCAGGGCAGUGGUGUAACACUGCUUUGCUAAGUGAGAAAAACAAUAAUUGCAACCAUUUAGUGAGUGUGAAUCAAAUGCUAGGCACCAGACUGAUGCUUUCUUUUUGCUAUUUCAUUUGAUCCUCACAAUAAAUGGCAUUACUUUGCAGAGAGAUUAUCCUCAUUUUAUGCAUGUGGACACUGAGAUUAAGUCAAAUGCCUAAGUUUAUAAAGCUAAUAGGUGGCACAGCUGGCUAAGUUGACUUCUAGCCCAUACUCUACCACACUGUAAUGCAUCCCUCAGGACAGAGAUCACCAAGUGGCCCCUGCCUGGUCCCAGGUGGAAGGACAUAUUAAGUUAAACUGAAAAGCAGUCCUAAAAUACUUGAAAUGUAAACUAUUACCCAAACAUGAGGUGAAUCUACAAUAAGAAGCAAAAAGUAAAUGCAGUGAAAAGCUCACCAUUCUACAAUCUAUCUUCAGGGAGGUAUCCUUCUUUCCUACUACUAUAUUUGAUAAAUUUCAAACAAAACAAAACAUCCUUUCCAUUGUGUCAGCUUUUGGACACACACUUUAUUGCACUUGAUUUUUUUAUACAUCCAUUUCCUAAACAAGAUAUGUUUAUUCAUCUUUUUAAUCCUCAUGGCUCAGCACAGGGCCUGACAUACACCACUGCCUUUUCCCUUUCUUUCA